rnacentral:rRNA from 1 species
UACGGAGGGGGCUAGCGUUGUUCGGAAUUACUGGGCGUAAAGCGCACGUAGGCGGGCUGGAAAGUCAGGGGUGAAAACCCGGGGCUCAACCCCGGAACUGCCUUUGAAACUUCCAGUCUUGAGGUCGAGAGAGGUGAGUGGAAUUCCGAGUGUAGAGGUGAAAUUCGUAGAUAUUCGGAGGAACACCAGUGGCGAAGGCGGCUCACUGGCCCGAUACUGACGCUGAGGUGCGAAAGCGUGGGGAGCAAACAGG